UGGUUUUAGUGCAUUGUGCUCUAGGCAAUGCAAGAUUUAACGGUUUCAUUUUUUUAAGCUAGUAAGGAUGUUUACACGAUUGAUUAUCAUUGUCCUAUGUGCAGAAAAUACUCUGGAUACAGUGUAAUGGCUGUGGCUCAUGGAGCAUUAAUUCUUCAAAACCCGUUUUCAUUUCUUCAUCCUUAUUCACAACCGACGAACUGACGACGAUUGCUUCUGCUGUUAGAUCAUAACCAGCUGUUUGGUAGCAAAAUAAAAAGAAGUCCGAUAUAGCAGCCACUGGAGUCUGACCAAUGUCCGAUAUAGCAGCCACUGGAGUCUGACCAAUGUCACUCGUGUACUUUUCAAAAUCAUCAUUGCCCUCGUAUUCCACGUAGAAAUGAAUGCUUCCAACAUGCAUUCCAUAUAUCACGGCAGCUUUAUACCUUUUCUUGAAGUUUUCUAUAAAGUCAAACAUCUUUUCUAA